rnacentral:rRNA from 1 species
GACGAACGCUGGCGGCGUGCUUAACACAUGCAAGUCGAACGGAAAGGCCCUGCUUUUGUGGGGUGCUCGAGUGGCGAACGGGUGAGUAACACGUGAGUAACCUGCCCUUGACUUUGGGAUAACUUCAGGAAACUGGGGCUAAUACCGGAUAGGAGCUCCUGCUGCAUGGUGGGGGUUGGAAAGUUUCGGCGGUUGGGGAUGGACUCGCGGCUUAUCAGCUUGUUGGUGGGGUAGUGGCUUACCAAGGCUUUGACGGGUAGCCGGCCUGAGCGGGGGACCGGCCACACGGGGACGGAGACACGGGCCAUAGUACUAAGGGAGGGAGCGGGAGGGAAUGUUGCGCAAUGGGCGGAAGCCUGACGGCGCAGUGGCGGGUGAGUGACGAAGGUCUUGGGAGGGUAAAAAUCGGUUAGUAGGGAAGAACAUAUGUGUAAGGAAAUGUGCACAUCUGGACGGUACCUAAUAAGAAAGCCACGGCUAACUACGUG